GACGAACGCUGGCGGCGUGCUUAACACAUGCAAGUCGAGCGGCAAGGCCCUUUCGGGGGUACACGAGCGGCGAAACGGGUGAGUAACACGUGGGUGACCUGCCCUUAGCUCUGGGAUAAAGCCUGGGAAAACUGGGUCUAAUACCGGAUAUGACUCCAUAAACGCAUGUUGUGGGGUGGAAAAGCCUUGUGCGGCUAGGGAUGGGCCCGCGGCCUAUCAGCUUGUUGGUGGGGCGAUGGCCUACCAAAGGCGACGACGGGUAGCCGGCCUGAGAGGGCGACCGGCCACACUGGGACUGAGACACGG
rnacentral:rRNA from 1 species